ensembl:snRNA U7 U7 small nuclear RNA
GAAAAUUUGCUCUUUUAGUAUUUGUCCAGAAGGUUUCUUCGGAAGAAGAAGCCCAU